rnacentral:rRNA from 1 species
CGCGAAAACCUUACCACCUUUGACAUGUACGGAACCCUUUAGAGAUAGAGGGGUGCUCGAAAGAGAGCCGUAACACAGGUGCUGCAUGGCUGUCGUCAGCUCGUGUCGUGAGAUGUUGGGUUAAGUCCCGCAACGAGCGCAACCCUUGUCAUUAGUUGCUACAUUCAGUUGGGCACUCUAAUGAGACUGCCGGUGACAAGCCGGAGGAAGGUGGGGAUGACGUCAAGUCCUCAUGGCCCUUAUAGGUGGGGCUACACACGUACUACAAUGGUGGGUACAAAGGGCAGCGAAACCGCGAGGUCGAGCGAAUCUACAAAAACCCAUCAUAGUCCGGAUUGCAGUCUGCAACUCGACUGCAUGAAGUUGGAAUCGCUAGUAAUCCCGGAUCAGCAUGCCGGGGUGAAUACGUUCCCGGGCCUU